rnacentral:rRNA from 1 species
CGGUCUUGCUGUCACUUAUAGAUGGAUCCGCGCUGCAUUAGCUAGUUGGUAAGGUAACGGCUUACCAAGGCAACGAUGCAUAGCCGACCUGAGAGGGUGAUCGGCCACACUGGAACGAGACACGGUCCAGAUUCCUACGGGAGGCAGCAGUAGGAAUCUUCCGCAAUGGGCGAAAGCCUGACGGAGCAACGCCGCGUGAGUGAUGAAGGUCUUCGGAUCGUAAAACUCUGUUAUUAGGGAAGAACAUAUGUGUAAGUAACUGUGCACAUCUUGACGGUACCUAAUCAGAAAGCCACGGCUAACUACGUGCCAGCAGCCGCGGUAAUACGUAGGUGGCAAGCGUUAUCCGGAAUUAUUGGGCGUAAAGCGCGCGUAGGCGGUUUUUUAAGUCUGAUGUGAAAGCCCACGGCUCAACCGUGGAGGGUCAUUGGAAACUGGAAAACCUGAGUGCAGAAGAGGAAAGUGGAAUUCCAUGUGUAGCGGUGAAACGCGCAGAGAUAUGGAGGAACACCAGUGGCGAAGGCGACUUUCUGGUCUGUAACUGACGCUGAUGUGCGAAAGCGUGGGGAUCAAACAGGAUUAGAUACCCUGGUAGUCCACGCCAUAAACGAUGAGUGCUAAGUGUUAGGGGGUUUCCGCCCCUUAG